CCUACGGGGGGCAGCAGUGAGGAAUAUUGGUCAAUGGGCGAGAGCCUGAACCAGCCAAGUCGCGUGAGGGAGGACGGCCCUACGGGUUGUAAACCUCUUUUGCCGGGGGACAAACGGCGGCACGCGUGCCGUCCUGAGGGUACCCGGAGAAAAAGCAUCGGCUAACUACGUGCCAGCAGCCGCGGUAAUACGUAGGGGGCAAGCGUUAUCCGGAUUUACUGGGUGUAAAGGGAGCGUAGACGGGCCAGCAAGUCUGAUGUGAAAACCCGGGGCCCAACCCCGGGAGUGCAUUGGAAACUGCGGGC
rnacentral:rRNA from 1 species